GGUCCCAUCCAGAUACCACAUGACACCCGGUUGUCCUGUCUUCGGAGGCUCCUCCUGGCUGGGACAGUUUCUCAGACUUUCCUUGUUGCAAUGGCUGCUCAAGCUUUGAGGAGUACAGUCAGUGUUCUGUAGAACGUCUCUCUCGCUACUGGGAUUCGUCUAACGUUUUUCUCAUGAUUAGACUGGGGUUGGGCGUGUUUAGAAAGAAGACCACCGAAGUAAAGUGCCCCACUCAUCACACCGUGUCCAGGGUACACACCACCAUGUGACUUCUCCCUGUCGCUGCUGACCUGGCCACCUGGCUGAGGCAGGAUUGCUCAGCUUCCUCCAUUCUCAGCUUUACACUUGUGAUAUCCUUUCCACGCUGCACUCGCUGGAAGGGAGUCACUGUAUGCAGCCAACACUGAAGGAAUGAAGUUAUUCCACACAGGAUUUAGAAUUCCACAGAUGAUUUGUCUGCUCUUCCUAUUUAUUUUACAUCACUCUGCUUUUGCGAUACCAGGGAUAGAACUCUGCAAACAUCUCUGCUUCGCAGCUGGCAUCCUGUUGGAUUUUUCCAGUAGAGGGAAGCUUCCAUGCUGCAGGAAGAAGGGGCGUGCUCCUUCCCGUUCCUGUCAGCACUGCUGCAGCAGUUUGCUCUCACAGCGCAUGUGAUCACAGUUGCCAUUUCUGACCUGCUCAGAACCAGCUUCAUGAUGGGCUCAAAGACCC
rnacentral:antisense_RNA from 1 species